GACGAACGCUGGCGGCGUGCCUAAUACAUGCAAGUUGAGCGCUGAAGGUUGGUACUUGUACCAACUGGAUGAGCAGCGAACGGGUGAGUAACGCGUGGGGAAUCUGCCUUUGAGCGGGGGACAACAUUUGGAAACGAAUGCUAAUACCGCAUAAAAACUUUAAACACAAGUUUUAAGUUUGAAAGAUGCAAUUGCAUCACUCAAAGAUGAUCCCGCGUUGUAUUAGCUAGUUGGUGAGGUAAAGGCUCACCAAGGCGAUGAUACAUAGCCGACCUGAGAGGGUGAUCGGCCACUUUGGGACUGAGACACGGCCCAAACUCCUACGGGAGGCAGCAGUAGGGAAUCUUCGGCAAUGGACGAAAGUCUGACCGAGCAACGCCGCGUGAGUGAAGAAGGUUUUCGGAUCGUAAAACUCUGUUGGUAGAGAAGAACGUUGGUGAGAGUGGAAAGCUCAUCAAGUGACGGUAACUACCCAGAAAGGGACGGCUAACUACGUG
rnacentral:rRNA from 1 species